AUGUUUACCCAGCAGGGGCCAUACCAGGAUCACAAAGGUGGGUUUCCCAGGGCCAAGACUCAACCAUUGCAUUCUGGAUGUGCAAUGUGGUUUUCCUAAGUGUGGUGAACUCCACUGCAUGAUUUGUGGCAGGGGGAGGCUGAAUUCACACUCUUCCCAU
ensembl:snRNA U1 U1 spliceosomal RNA